rnacentral:piRNA from 1 species
UAGGUGAGAAUUCCAGGCAGAGCAGUACU